rnacentral:lncRNA from 10 species
GAAGAGAUUGUAUAGUCCUAGAAAAAGACCAACUGGAAGACCACGGCGUAGCAGAAGCCAUUCCGGCAAUGAGAGAUUCAAACACCAAAGUGGAUCUUUUUCAAGAUCUAAAUCCAAAUCAAGAUCACGGUCCAAGUCCCAGCCCAAGAAAGAAAUGAAGGCUAAAUCACGUUGCAGGCCUGCAUCUCAUACCAAAACUAGAGGCAUCUCUAAAAACAGAUUCCAAAGCACAUUACAAGUCUGGCUCAAGAUAUGAAAAGGAAUCAAGGAAAAAAGGACCACCUAGAUCCAAAUCUCAGUCAAGAUCAUAGUCUAGGUCUAGGUCAAAAUCUAGAUCAAGGUCUUGGACUAGUCCUAAGUCCAG